UACGUAGGGUGCGAGCGUUAAUCGGAUUUACUGGGCGUAAAGCGUGCGCAGGCGGCCCGUUAAGACAGGUGUGAAAUCCCUGGGCUCAACCUAGGAAUUGCGCUUGGGACUGGCGGGCUCGAGUACGGUAGAGGGGGGUGGAAUUCCUGGUGUAGCAGUGAAAUGCGUAGAGAUCAGGAGGAACACCGAUGGCGAAGGCAGCCCCCUGGGCCUGUACUGACGCUCAUGCACGAAAGCGUGGGGAGCAAACAGG
rnacentral:rRNA from 1 species